rnacentral:rRNA from 1 species
GAGUUUGAUCAUGGCUCAGAUUGAACGCUGGCGGCAUGCCUUACACAUGCAAGUCGAACGGCAGCACGGGAGCUUGCUCCUGGUGGCGAGUGGCGAACGGGUGAGUAAUGCAUCGGAGCGUAUCCUGGAGUGGGGGAUAACGUAGCGAAAGUUACGCUAAUACCGCAUAUUCUGUGAGCAGGAAAGCGGGGGACCUUCGGGCCUCGCGCUCUUGGAGCGGCCGAUGUCGGAUUAGCUAGUUGGUGAGGUAAAGGCUCACCAAGGCGACGAUCCGUAGCAGGUCUGAGAGGAUGAUCUGCCACACUGGAACUGAGACACGGUCCAGACUCCUACGGGAGGCAGCAGUGGGGAAUUUUGGACAAUGGGGGCAACCCUGAUCCAGCCAUGCCGCGUGAGUGAAGAAGGCC